rnacentral:rRNA from 1 species
AUGGAAACAACACCCAUCCAGCUCGUGAGCUACACUUUCCUCUGCGUCCUUGUCGUCACCGUACUCCUCAAGCUCAGGUCAGCCUCUGGUAGCCGGCCGAACCUGCCUCCGGGCCCAUGGGCGCUGCCGGUGGUCGGCCACAUGCACUUCCUGCUCGGCGCCCUGCCGCACCAGGCCAUGCGCAGUCUCUCCCGGCGGCACGGCCCCGUGAUGCUCCUCCGCCUCGGCCACGUCCCGACGCUCGUGCUCUCCUCCGCGGAGGCGGCAAGGCAGCUGAUGAAGGUCCACGACGCCGCCUUCGCGAACCGGCCCGUGUACACCACCGCGGACGUCUUCACCAACGGCGGCCAGAACAUCUCCUUCGCGCGCCACGACACGAAAGACCGUCCGGAAGUUCUGCACCCACUAGUAGUGGAGCUGCUCAGCCCGAGGCGCGUCCGCUCGUUCCGCCCUGUCCGGGAGGAGGAGGCGGCGAGGCUCGUGCGGUCCGUCGCUGACGCUGGCGCCCUCGUCGAUGUCGGCGAGAGAGUGAAGGUCAUGAUGAACGACGUCAUCAUGAGGGUUUCCGUCGGCGACCGGUGCCAGCAGAGGGCGCUGUACCUCAAGGAGCUGGAUAGGGCGAUCGACCUCAUGUCCGGGUUCAACUUGACCGACCUGUUCCCGACGUCGCGGCUGGCGCGGGUGCUCGGCAGCCGGUCCCUUAGGGCGACGUGGGAGGUGCACGGGAGGAUCCAGUCCAUCAUGGACGCCAUGGUCCAUGAGCACAAGAUGGCGAUGGGGAGCGAGGAAGCCAGCGCCGGCCAUGAGAGGGAGGACAUCCUCACCACUCUGCUACGGUUCCAGAGAGACGGUGGGAUGGGUGGCAUCGCCCUCACAAACGAAAAUGUCAGCGGCGUCUUGUUCGACGUUUUUUCCGCGGGGUCGGAAACCACGGCGACAACGACGAUCUGGGCCAUGUCAGAGCUUAUCAGAAACCCACGGAUAAUGGCCAUCGCGCAAUCUGAAGUGCGGCGGGUGCUCCAAGGCAAAACCAAGGUGGCGGAGGCCGACAUCGACGGCCGGCUCCACUACCUCCAGAUGGUCAUCAAGGAGACCUUCAGGUUGCACCCUCCGGUGCCGUUGCUCAUCCCCAGGUUGUGCACGGAACAGCGCAAGAUCAUGGGCUUCGACGUGCCUCCGGGCACCACCGUGUUCGCGAACGUGUGGGCGAUCGGUAGGGACGAGAAGAGCUGGACCGACGCCGAAGAGUUCAAGCCUGAGAGGUUUGAGAGCGAGAUGGUAGACUAUGGUGGGACGUCAAAAAAUGUAUUUUGCCAAGGUCAGAAAGAGGUCUUGGUACCCCACCUUCCUAUUUUACGUUGA